ACGGCUCAGUAACACGUGGCUAACCUACCCUUAAGUCAAGGAUAACCUCGGGAAACUGAGGAUAAUACUUGAUAGAAGUUAAACCCUGGAACGAUUUAACUUUCAAACUCGUGCUUAAGGAUGGGGCUGCGGCGGAUUAGGUAGUUGGCGGGGUAAUAGCCCACCAAGCCAAUGAUCCGUAAGGGCUCUUAGCGGAGAAGCCCUGAGAGGGAAUCUGAGAUACUAUUCCCAGCCCUACGGGGUGCAGCAGGUAGGAAUCUUUUGCAAUGCGCGCAAGCGUGACAAAGCGAGCCAGAGUGCUUUUCAAUUGAAAAGCUUUUGCCAAAUCUAAAAAUUUUGGCGAAUAAGGACUGGGUAAGACUAGUGCCAGCCGCCGCGGUAAUACUAGCGGUCCAAGUCGCAGCCAUCAUUAUUGGGUCUAAAAUAUCCGUAGCUUGCUUAAUAAGUUCCUUGUGAAAUCCUAUCUCUUAAGGAUAGGGCGUGCAAGGAAUACUGCUAAGCUAGAGACUGGAAGACGUAGAAAGUAUGUUCCAAGUAGCGGUAAAAUGUGUUAAUCUGGAGCAGACUCACAAUAGCGAAGGCACUCUACGAGGACAGUUCUGACAGUAAAGGAUGAAGGCUAGGGGCGCAAAAUGGAUUAGAUACCCAUGUAGUCCUAGCAGUAAACACUGCAUACUAAACAUUAGUACCUCUUCGAGAGGUAUUAGUGCUGUAGGGAAGCCGAAGAGUAUGCUACCUGGGAAGUAUAGCCGCAAGGCCGAAACUUAAAGGAAUUGGCGGGGGAG
rnacentral:rRNA from 1 species